GUGUCUAUAGCUUGUCCAAACUGAGCACUUACUUUACUAUUGAUGUCAGCCUCUGCACCAUCCCCCCGGGACUAGUUUGACAAUCACGUUCACGAUCGAUGUCUGCAGUGUGCAGAAGGGUUUGAAGUUGGUGCUCCCAUAUCAACAACAGUAGUAAGUGACCGUUGAUCACUGAUUGCAGAAAAAAGAGUGAUAAAUAAUUUGAUGCGAAUUUAUUUCGGACAGAUGAACGUAACAGUGCCAAUAAAAAGUACCUGAGAAGAGAAGGGUCAUAAGCAUUCACAUAGUUCAGAAUCAUAACAAUCUUGAAGGGUACUUUUCAUCUAAGCGUCUAAAAUUUGUUGGCUAGAUACUUGAGUUAGUAGAUUUGGUUAGGAACACAAGCAUAUGAUUAAUCUGAUAUCCUAAGAGAAUGGUUUCACCAACUUGUCCAUUUCAGUUUUCUGUUAGUACUAUUUAACAUAUGAUAAUAUGAUAAUAUAUAUAUAUAUAUAUAUAUAUAUAUAUAUAUAUAUAUAUAUAUAUAUAUAUANNNNNNNNNNNNNNNNNNNNNNNNNNNNNNNNNNNNNNNNNNNNNNNNNNNNNNNNNNNNNNNNNNNNNNNNNNNNNNNNNNNNNNNNNNNNNNNNNNNNAUAUAUAUAUAUAUAUAUAUAUAUAUAUAUAUAUAUAUAUAUAUAUAUAUAUAUAUAUAUAUAUAUAUAUAUAUAUAUAUAAGGGCAGCCCGGUGCACUAAAGCGUCCGCAUACGAUGGGUUCCACCAUAUAUCUUUAUUUAUAUGUGUUCGAUGGGAAUGAAAACUAUCUUAGUUAAAAAACUCCUUGUUGGCGAUAUUUUUGCCUAACACAUUUGAAUGAGGAGAGCAAGGAAUGUUAAAUUGUGACAAAUAAAUCUUUGUAUACCUAUAGAGCUAGAAUCCUACUCGCCUAGCAAGCCAAUACUUGACAUCCAUGCAUAAAAAACCAGUAGAAAUGUGUCAUGUGGCGUUGUAUGUCGCCCCCACUUCCUGGGUGACAUGGUAUCUUGUGGUCCAAGAAAAGCAACGCGUGGAAAGGCUGGACAGUUGGAAAAUUCGCUAAACAUUUUUUUUUUAAGGAAAAAAAAUUCGCUAAACAUAAUCACUUGAAAUUCACUAAGCUAAAUUUUUUGAGAUUACACAUAAACCUUUCUUCAGCUGCAAGUUACCUCUGUGUCAAGCUCUUACAAACUCAAAGUUUUAAGAGAACACUAUCAGUAGACUAAUUCCAAACUCUUAAGAGCUUGUUUCAAGCCAUCAAGGCUUUAUUCAACUUCUGACUUUUGAUCUCCAUUCCUUUCUUUUCAAAACCUGAAGGUUGUUUUACAAACAGCUCUUCCUCCAAUGGACCAUUAAGGAAAUCUGAUUUAAUAUCUAACUAACUUAAUUCCACCAUUUCUUACUUGCCAAAGAAGCUACCAAUCUUAUUAUCUUAAUUCUUGUAACUGGAGCAUAAUUUCAUUAAUAUCUAGGCCUAGAUUUUGACAAAAAAAAAAAAAACUUUUGAAAACAAGCUUUAUACUUUGCAACUUGGCCAUUUGUUUUCAUUGUGGUUUUGAACAUCCAUUUUACUUCAAAAGCCUUCUUCUUAUUAGGCAGAUUUUCUAACUAACGUGUAUUGUUGUUUUGAAUUGAACUCAAUUCAUAUUUCAUUGCUUCUUUCUAGUGGAUACUUUGAUGUGCUAUCAUGAGCAUAUCCAACAAGAUUGUGUAAAUUAGGCGCUACAAAAUUCCAAUAAAUCAUAAACGAAAACCAAAAGUGUAUACUUUGCAACUAUGAUCUGACACAGUAUAACAGUAUAACAAAAUGAACAUGGCUUAAGCUUGCCCAUGAACUAAAACAAGGGCUACAAUUGUUGUGCACAAAUCAAUAACAUACAUAUUCAAUUUUCUAAAAUAAAAAACAUGCAUGUAGAAGAUUGAAAGCACAAAGAGGGAAUGAAUCAUUGGAGAAUCUAAGCAAAGAGAGUAACCUGAGCACAGAAAGAUCACAUCCAUAGAGGUAGAUUUGAAUGAAAAUGGAUAUAAACAUAAAUCUAAAUGAACAGAACCUGCAUAAAUUCACAAAUCAUAGAUAAUCCAACUUGAAGAUAAGAGUAUAAAAAAAAAAAAAGUUACGGAAGUAAGAGAAAACAAAAAGUGGAGAUUCAUUUAGAUUCGGUUUUAUUGUAUUUGUAUACUUUAUUGGGUUUGAUACGAUUUGGAUUUUCGUUUUUAUUGGAUUUGUCUAAACCGCUUACACC
rnacentral:lncRNA from 1 species